UACAGAGGUCUCAAGCGUUGUUCGGAUUCAUUGGGCGUAAAGGGUGCGUAGGUGGCGCGCUAAGUCAGGUGUGAAAUUUCGGAGCUUAACUCCGAAACUGCAUUUGAUACUGGCGUGCUUGAGGACUGGAGAGGAGACUGGAAUUCAUGGUGUAGCAGUGAAAUGCGUAGAGAUCAGCAGGAAUACCCGUGGCGAAGGCGGCCCCCUGGGCCGAACCUGACGCUGAGGCGCGAAGGCUAGGGGAGCGAACGGG
rnacentral:rRNA from 1 species